rnacentral:misc_RNA from 1 species
AACGCACGAGACCUGCGGACCUGCGGAGGGAUCAUUACCGAGUUCUCGCCCCUCGCGGGGUAGACCUCCCACCCACUGUGAUCACUACCGUCGUUGCUUUGGCGGGCCGCUGGGCCCAGCCCACCGCCGGCUCCGGCUGGCGCGUGCCCGCCAGAGGCCCUACAAACGCUGGAUAUCAGUGCCGUCUGAGUACACAUGUUAAUCGUUAAAACUUUCAACAAUGGAUCUCUAGAUCGGAAG